rnacentral:rRNA from 1 species
AUUCCAGCUCCAAUAGCGUAUAUUAAAGUUGUUGCAGUUAAAAAGCUCGUAGUUGGAUUUGUGGUGUGUCCAGUCGGCCUUUGCUCUUUGAGUGAUUGUGCUGUACUGGUCUGCCAUGUUUGGGUGGAAUCUGUGUGGCAUUAGGUUGUCGUGCAGGGGAUGCCCAUCGUUUACUGUGAAAAAAUUAGAGUGUUCAAAGCAGGCUUAUGCCGUUGAAUAUAUUAGCAUGGAAUAAUGAUAUAGGACCUUGGUACUAUUUUGUUGGUUUGCGCACUAAGGUAAUGAUUAAGAGGGACAGUUGGGGGUAUUUGUAUUCCAUUGUCAGAGGUGAAAUUCUUGGAUUUUUGGAAGACAAACUACUGCGAAAGCAUUUACCAAGGAUGUUUUCAUUA